rnacentral:sRNA from 1 species
CCUCUUUCAAUGUGUGCAUGUCUGUUCAUCUGUUUAACCACCCUGGCAUCUUCUCUCCUUGUUUCUAGACACUCAACUCUGAUACUCCAGCCCUGUGGCACCCCAGACCCUCUUCAGCUACAGCCACAGGUCCUGGGAAAGAAGUGGGAUCUAGGGCCCUGGGAGGAGGUUGAGCCUGGGGAAGGAAAAAGCAGGAAACUGAAGGAAGCAGGGGCUGAGGAACACUUAGAGGGUGGGCAGAAGCGGGGGUUCCCAGUCUGCUUGUCUCCCUUUCCCUUGCAGGCCUCUGGAGCCUCUCGCCUGGCCCGGACAUCUGGCCCCUCAGAGUGGCAGCUGCAGCAAGAGGCAGCUGAAGCCCUCGUGGGGCUGAAAGAUUCAUCCCAGGCUCCUCGUGUGACCCCUUCUGUGCCCCCCAACCCUGCCUGGAUCUCCCUGCUUCACCCCUGUGGCCCACCAGCUCCUGCUGGAGGAAGAGGAUUCCAGCCUGUUGGCCCCUGUCUUCGACCCAGCCCAGCCCCCUCU